rnacentral:rRNA from 1 species
UACGUAGGUGACAAGCGUUGUCCGGAUUUACUGGGCGUAAAGAGCGCGCAGGCGGUCUAUCAAGUCUGGUGUGAAAGCCCCCGGCUCAACUGGGGAGGGUCAUUCGAUACUGAUCGACUAGAAGGCAGGAGAGGGUAGUGGAAUUCCCGGUGUAGUGGUGAAAUGCGUAGAUAUCGGGAGGAACACCGGUGGCGAAGGCGACUACCUGGCCUGUUCUUGACGCUGAGGCGCGAAAGCUAGGGGAGCAAACGGG